GUCUUUUCCCGCAGAGUCCUCAUAUCUCACCAUGAUCAGCCUUGUUGGGGAGUUAUUUCUCGUGCGAAGGCAUUCAUUGGACCGUUUCCAAUGGCAAAUUCACAUAGGUGGCUCUCCUCAAAUGUCUGGAGAUGGCUGGCUAUUUGUUCACAUCUGGGUGAUGCGCUAAAAUGUGGAUGAGUAACUCAUUAGGCAUGUGUGCAGCUUUGACUGGUCAGCUUCCCUGGAAGGAGAUCAGGGUAUGAGGCUGGUUUUAGAAAAGAGAAAUGUGGGAAAUAAAACGUGGCCAGAUUUCAGCAAGCACAUGGCAGGGUCUUGCACCAUAUCCUUGCAAACAAGAUGGGGAAAUAGAAACAGGCCAGUUAAAUGGAUUUGUGCUUUUUUGAUUAAAGGACAACACAACCACCAACCUGCAAGGAAGUUUCCGCCUAAAAGACUCAGGAGCUUUUUCCUCUGUGCUCCCAAUCUACUUGCUCAUAUUUCAUUAUUUGGCAAAACUGUACUCUAUGUAUCUGUUUUCCUACUAGGCUGUGAGUGCCUCAAGAUUUUUCCUUUUAUUUUAAAUUUCCCAGCGACAAGG